rnacentral:lncRNA from 1 species
AUGGCUCAAAUGAACUGUCCAGCUCCUGUGGAAGUCACAUACAAGAACAUGAGGAUUUCUUACUACACACAACCCAACCAAUGUGACCUUAAACAAAUUCGUAGAGGAACUUAAGAAGUAUGGAGUUUUCACAAUAGAUAAGAGUAUGUAAAGCAACUUAUGACACUACUCUUCUGGAGAAAGAAGGUACCCAUGUUCUCGAUAGGCCUUUUGAUGAUGGUGCACCACCAUCCAACCAGAUUGAUGACUGGUUAAGUCUUGUGAAAAUUAAGUUUCAUAAAGAACCUCAUUGUUGUACUGCUGUUCAUUGCAUUGCAGGCCUUGGGAGAGCUCCAGUACUUGUUGCCCUAGCAUUAAUUGAAGGCAAAAUGAAAGAUGAUGAUGCAGUACAAUUCGCAAGAAAAAAGCAGUAUGGAGCUUUUAACAGCAAGUUAACUUUUGUAUUUGGAGAAGUAUCAUCCUUAAAGAUGUGGCUGCACUUCAAAGACUCCAGUGGUCAUAGAUACAACUGUUGC